GAUGAACGCUGGCGGCGUGCCUAAUACAUGCCAGUCGAGCGAACGGACGAGAAGCUUGCUUCUCUGAUGUUAGCGGCGGACGGGUGAGUAACACGUGGAUAACCUACCUAUAAGACUGGGAUAACUUCGGGAAACCGGAGCUAAUACCGGAUAAUAUUUUGAACCGCAUGGUUCAAAAGUGAAAGAUGGUCUUGCUGUCACUUAUAGAUGGAUCCGCGCUGCAUUAGCUAGUUGGUAAGGUAACGGCUUACCAAGGCAACGAUGCAUAGCCGACCUGAGAGGGUGAUCGGCCACACUGGAACUGAGACACGGUCCAGACUCCUACGGGAGGCAGCAGUAGGGAAUCUUCCGCAAUGGGCGAAAGCCUGACGGAGCAACGCCGCGUGAGUGAUGAAGGUCUUCGGAUCGUAAAACUCUGUUAUUAGGGAAGAACAUAUGUGUAAGUAACUGUGCACAUCUUGACGGUACCUAAUCAGAAAGCCACGGCUAACUACGUG
rnacentral:rRNA from 1 species